GGAGCCUGCGGCUUAAUUUGACUCAACACGGGAAAACUUACUGCUACCAUCAGGUAGAUAAUUAUAGUAUGCUGGAUAAUCUAAGUAGGCUCAGGUUAUAGAAGGGUAUAAAAGCAGCCAUGUCUGAGCGUACUGGACACUUUAGUUUCGUGUGUAAUAAAGGCAAAACAUGAACAUAAAACUUACCAGGUCCGAACUUAUCGAGGUAAGACAGAUUGAGAGCUCUUUCUCAAACUUAAGGGUAGUGGUGCAUGGCCGUUCUUAGUUCGUGGAUUGAUUUGUCUGGUUUAUUCCGAUAACGAACGUGACUCACUCAUGCUAACUAGAAUACCAGUCAGCCUGUUGCGUUUUGAUCUCUGUCCGGAGUGCCCCCGGGUGCGAAGGCUGAGGGAGUGCGACCUGACGUUCCGGCCCUGUGUGCGCAAGCAUACUUGGCUAAGCUGCUUAGCAGGACAAUUUGUGUUUAGCAAAAUGAGACUGAGCGAUAACAGGUCCGUGAUGCCCUUAGAUGCCCUGGGCUGCACGCGCGCUACAAUGUGGGUUUCAGCGUGUCUCCUAUUCCGAAAGGAACGGGUAAUCACUGAAACACCCACUUAGUAGGGAUUAUGGAUUGCAAUGGUUUUGUCGCUGCGUGG
rnacentral:rRNA from 1 species